rnacentral:lncRNA from 1 species
UAAAACAAAAUUGUAUCUAGGCAAAAAGAAAGGAAACACCUAGCUGUGACUUCUUUAUAUGAUUAAAGAAAAUCUGUAGACAUACAUUUGUCACCUAGAGAAUGAGUUUUCUCACCCAAAGCAAUAGGAGUUGGCGUACCCAUGUGUCACCCAAAGCAAUAGGAGUCUUGCGACUCCACAUGAUGUAAAUUAAUUAGCAAACCAUUAUUCGAGCUUCUGCCGCACCGCCGCCCAACACGCUCAGUUCUGUGACCACAUUUCCCUCAUGCUCAUAUUCCUCGUGUGUGCGCACAAGUUUUGAUUCAGUGGGUUGCAGCUGGCUAGAGUGUUGCUGCUCUGCAGGGACCAUCUACUGCUGCAACUGCAGCACUUCAUACUUGUAUCUCAGUUAAUUAUGUACCCAUCUACUACAUAUCUAUACCUGCCAAUGCAAGUUGUCUUCAGAUUAGGAGUCAGAAGAACGUAACAUACCGUAUGCAGAGUAUGAUGCCAGGACAAUGAUAUAGGCUGAGGCUCUUUUGAUGGAAUAGCAGUAAGGUACUGAUGUGCUACCAGAAGCCUUAUAGGGUGUGGGAUACCUGCUGUUGUAUGGCUUGAAUGGUUUUGUUUCACCCUGCAAAUAUGUUGAUAUUCUUUUUAAGCAAUAUGAGUAAUCAAAUGAAACUCUAAAUGGAGCACACUCUAAUUCAAUGAGCAUUGAAAUGUGUAUAACAUAGAUCCACUGAAUUGUUUUCUAUUUGGUACUUCUACUUGAACUGUAAAAGCAUCCGCUGAGACAUAAGAAAUGCGAAUGAAGUAUCAGAGACAACUAUCCUUACAAGUUCAGGAGCAAAAUAUAUCUCAUGGUUUCCAGCUAUCCAGAUCCAAGGCUGGUAUGCGAGAUUCCGCUGUACAAAUCUUGCCCACAUAUCUCACCUUGUAUUAUCAAUUUAUCAUGAUAUGGGUAAUUAUCGGCAUAUGUCAGGUCCCAACGAAAAGCACUGCCUGGGCUUUUGAAUUGGACUCAUAAUGAGUGAGUGUGACAUCGGAGUCAAAACUCUGACCGAGAUCACCUAAACACAAUAAAUUCUCAGUAAUAUUACUCAUAAACUACAAUAGUAAAAUUAUGUUGAAAUUCAGACAUGACGAUGCAAGUUAUAUUCUGAGCAAAUUUGACAAUACCUAUCAGACCAAAUGUAUAUGGAACAUCUGGG